CCUUCAUCAUCUUCUUUGUGGUUUUUCUAGGAAUUCUUUAGGUGUCUUCGAGUUUGGAAGCAUACAAUCAUUUUUGUAAUAAUUAAAAAUUAAAAUUGUUACAAACUUCUAAAACACGGAAGGGUGAUUGAGUUGUCCUCGUGGAGUCAUGUGUCCAAUUGGUUAUAUAUACAAUCAUAUUAUAAUAGUCGUAUAUACGUAAACAUUUUUUAAAAAAAUAUGUACCACACUUUAAAAAUUCACAUAUGCAUUAAUUAAUUUACUUUUAACCUUAUCUUCUAAUAUAUUAUUAUAAAUUAAUUAAUAGUUAUUUUAAGAAAAACCAAUAAACAAUAUAACGCAAACUUGAAACAAAGAGUGAAUCAAGGAGAAUCUACAAAAUAAGUAGAGUAAUGUAUAAUUAAUACAGAAAAAAAAUUAACAAAUAAAAUUUAUCUCACCUUACCAAUGGAGAUUUUAUCUAUUGGAAAUGGUUGAUAUACUUACAAUUAGUUUUCGACACACAUCGAAUAUGAUUAUCUCCAAUUUAUGUGGCGGAAAAACUUAUCACACACGUUAGAAAAAGAAAAAAGUGUUUAUUUUUCUAGUUCCAUGAGUUUCUACAAGGUUUUUUUUACUUCACUAGCUAGUGAUGACUCGCAUGUGAGAUUUGCGAGUGCAACUUAACAUAUGUGAUUUUGAGACCACGAGAGAAGCAUAUAAUUUUUUUUUUUAAAGUACUAUAAAAUAAUAAUAAAAUUUGAACAUAUAUAUGAAAUGUGGUUGUAUCUUUCAGCAUGGAUUAGAACUUUGUUUGUCAUGUUUAUGAGAGUUUAAUCUCUUGCGCUAAAUUCAACCUUAUUGGUGAAUCUAGAUUUUUUUUUUUAUGUAUAUAUGUAUAUAUAUAUAUAUAUGAUGUUUCUAACCUAAUUAAGAGUUAUAUGUUGUAAUAAUAUUAUAUAAUUGUCUUUUUACUCCUUUUCGAUCUUGAGUUAUUUUGGGACGGGAAAAUAUCUUUAUUUUGGUUUUCAUAUAACUAUUCCCCCUUUUUUGUGAAUCCAAAGCAUUGCUUGAAAACUUUUAUUAUCAGCAUUGCUCGAAAGUUGAAACUAUUCCCGCUGGAUUCAAAGUUUUCAACUUCACUAAUUUCUUUGAAAAGAAAAUACUAUAAAACUUCACUGACAUGUUACGUUACAUUUGGAAGCCAGUCAUGUACCGUAAUAAUUGAAGAAAAAAUAUUAUCAGCCGACACUAAAUGCAUAAAAGGUUAAGACAUUACCGAUCCAUGUUUUGUCGUUGAACAAUUAGUCAAAUGUUAAUUGGUUUCAUUCAGAAUUAAGUGUAAAAAAUUUGAUGAUGAUAAUGAAAGAGACUUGAGUGUAUUACCCGACUAAAAUCCAUUUCGCUUUCUUCAUGUGCUCUAGAUCUACAAUUACCUGCUACACAUUCCAAUGGAUAAAUUCUGGUAAUUAUAAAUGUGAUUACUUAAAAUAUAUAUGGUGGCUUCUUAAACUAAAUUAUAUAAAUUGUUAUCGUUAAAAAGCGACUUUUAGAGUUUAUAGCAACAAUCGUAUCUAUUUGUUCACGGGUUUUUGGAUUAAGUUAGAUUUAGGCUAUUGGUCAUUUCAGUCCACUUAUAAAAAUGGAAGGAUGGAUAUUAUUUUAUUAAUUUACACCAUUCGGAGAAUUUCCUUAUUUUGUAUCAAGUCAAAUAAAAAUUAUAGCCUCAACUCUGGCAAAUUAUUUGCAACAUGUUACCCAAUAGUCUACAUUAUAUAUCUAUUAAAAAUCUUAAUAUCUUGUACAAACAUUGUGUAUAAAUCUUUAUUCGAUCAGUUAUAACAAAUUACAUAGACAUAUAGUGUGUUCGAUCGAGAAAAAUAAAUAAAAGAUUGGACAUGAUAACUACAUUUAUACUAUGUGAUUGUAAAACUACAUCAGGAACUAGAUAAACUUAGAGGGUAAAGGACACGAUAAAAAUUGAAAUUAUUAUCAUUUACUAAAUCAGAAUACAACUUUUUGCCUCAAAUACAAGUGAAUAAAAUACCCAAAUAGACUUUUAUCCACCAAGGAUCGUCGUCUAAGAUAAAAAAAAUUGUUCAAUAUAAUUAAAGUUAGUAAUGUGUCUUAUGUCUUAUUCCGUGUUCUUAUGUCCAAUACUUACAUUUUUAGAUAAUCAAACGUAUUCAUCCUGUUGAAGUACAUGGAGUCGAUACAAGUUAAGAACACAGUGGCUUGGGUUAGGUGAUAGAUGUACAAUCGUAUAGCUUAUAGGUCAAUUCUAACAUGUUUCUGAAAGUCAUUUUGUAUGGAGGUGUGUUAUUUGAACAAUCAUUUGAAUGAUAACUUUUGUGACAACCACUAAUUUACAAAGGAAAGUAGAUAGUGACACGGAAACCAAAGUAAUAGAGAGAUAAAGUAAAAAAAUAAUGUGAGUAUGAAAAAUAAAAUUGUCACAAAAUGGUUGUCAAAAUAUCAUUUCUCUUUUGUAUAACAUGCACAAAUAUUUAAAAGAUAAAUGAUAUUUGUAUAACCAUUUUUUUGACAACUUUUAGACAAUUUUCUCUCUCAUAUUCACGUUAUAUUCUUAACCUUUCUUUUCCUUUUUCUCUCUCCUUUGUUUUUAACCAAUAAAAAGAGAGGAAAAAAAAGUUGUCAAGAAAGUUGUUAGCAAAUAGUUGUUCAAAUAUCAUUGCUCGAGUUAAAAUCGUGCUCACUAAACACAAAUGAUUUUUGACGAAGUUUUGUGUAGGCACAAGCAUUUCGGCGCACAUACAUAAAUCAAAAAAAUUAAAAGAUAAAUAAAACAGUCACAUCAAUCAAUAUCAUUUUAAUCAUUUAGUUUUUAAUUUUUUUUUAACUUCAUGGAUGCGUACCUAAAUGUGAGGUGUUGGUCAUAUGACCAAAUAAGAGAUUUUCAUGAUUUUUUUACCAUAAGAUCAAAAAGUUAUAUCAUAUCUCAUUUUAUUACAUUUUUUCUUUAAUGGUGGGGUUUAUUGGUUUCUAAAAAUAUAUCAAUUACCACCCUUUGUUUUCAAAUUCUUUAACCCCGUCACUAAAAACAUAAAAGUAUUUGGAGUAGGUUUAUUUUGUGAAAACAUUUUAAGUUUUCUAGAAUUUAUAUUUUUAAGCAAAAGUGAAUUGCAAAAAUUUAAGCGAGAUUUUUUAUCACAAGUUUACAAUUAUGGUGAAAUCGAAGAACUUAACUACUUAGGUUGUAAACUAAGAACAUUUUAUUAACAAAGAACCAAAAACAGGCAUGAUGGAGUGCAUAGACCAAAAUCUAAAGAAAAAACAUCAAACAGAAAUAAAGGGAAACUAUGUCGAUUAUUAUAACAACAAUCCUCUAAAAUAAAUCUAGGUGGAAGAGUCCACCAAAUAUAACGUUUAGAUUAAAAACCAAAUCCCGCUAUAAAUAUGAGAGAUUACAAUUAAUUGCAUUUGAGAACACAAUGACAAAGCAUUGCGUUGUCUUUUUUUUUUUUUUUUUUUGUCAUUUAGCUUAAUGGCUAUAGAAAUUCACCUUAAAGAUGAAUAAUUGAAGUGUCAUGCAUCGUCUGUUUUUUAAUCUCCACGUGAUAGACCGAGAAUUCUAAAAAGACUUCACCGAUAAUGACGGUGGAGAUUAAAAAACGUUCAUAAUUGCGGCCAACAAAACAAUUUGUGACUAAUAAUUCUAACCUUUUUAAAGAAAAACACGAAGUAGACAAGAAAAAGGAUGUAUCAAUAUGACAAUCAAUGGAAGUCCAAAGUCAACUCUAAAUGUUAACAUCAAAUUGAUUAACGUUGUAACUUGUAACACCUCGUUUUUUCAACUUAAAAAUUUCACAUAUAAAUUAAAGUAUUUCAACAUAAACAGAAUGUCACACUUCUUUUCAUAAAAUCAUAAACAGAAUAAAAUAACUAUUUAUCCUUCAAAUUCAACAGCAUAUCAUUUAUUACAUCGCAACGGAAUGUAUUCAACAUUUAAACAUCUUUUGCACCAAGGCCUCAACAUAAAAUCUCUUAAAGUUAUUCCAACAACAUGUUCAUGAAAGUUCAUAAAAUAAUACGUAAGGAAUAGAAAGCAACAACAAAAUUCUCAUCCCGUUACGUAUCAGGGCACCUAAGACACACGUGAGAGAUAGUCCACUCACGACAACAACUAACAGCAACUAUUCUCGAUCACCUGCAGGUUACCCAUAUGAAGGGUAACAAUUCCAAGCAGAAGGGGUGAGAUUUCAUAUUCAAAUAAUAAUAAGCAUAUAAUUCAUUAAAUGCAUUUAACAACUUAAACUUCAUCAAUUAAUAACAUUAACUCUUCUUAUAAUACUUCGUUAAUAACUCAAUCAAUUUCUAAUCAUCAUUAACUUCAUAUUCAUCACAUUAUAUACAACAUCAUAUAGCACAUAAUAAUCAGAUCAUAAACAUCAUCAUAUAACGACAUAAUCAUCACAUCAUAAACAUCAUCUUAUAACAAGAUAAACGAUACAUCAUAAACAUCAUCUUAUAACAGCAUAAACAACACAUCAUAAACAUCAUCUCAUAACGACAUAAACAACAACGAUUAAUAAAUAUUAAUACUUCACUUAGUUCUUUAUUAACAACUCAUUGACAAAUGACAACUUAACGACAACGACAAUGCGACUUCUACAUCUUAAACUCAACAUAUGCAACUUCAACUUCUUAAUCAUGCAUGUGGUACCAACCAGAGCAUCAAGCCCUCAACAUAAAGAGCAUAAAUACACUCACAGGGCAUCAAGCCCUCAACAUAAGAGCAAAAGCUCACAGAGCAUCAAGCCCUCAACUUCAAAUGAUUAUGCAUGGACUCAAAAACGUACAACUUAGACAAAUUCACAACUUAUAUGAUCCAAUAUCUUGGAAUAACAACUUACAACUUUACAACUUAGACCAACACUUGCAACUUAAUGACAAUAAUGGUUCAACAACAACAGAAACAGCAACAUAAACAUCUUGCAACAUAGCAACAUCAAUAAUAACAAUUUGAAUGAUAUAAACAAUAAUAAUUUCUAUAUCAUACAUUUUCAACACCUUAUAUAAAUAUCUUAAAUUAACCAACAAUCAUUAAUCAUUUGAUUCAGGCUCUCUUUAACUCUAUAACUUAAUAACAACUUCCAUUCUUAUCCAAAGAUCAACUCAAAACAUAGGUUAAAUACUCUUAAACAUCUUAAUUGAACUCAUAGUACUUCUAGUUUUGAGGUUUUGAAUUAUCCCAUAAGUUUUGGAUUAACUUAGAAAUGGUUAUGCUGAAUUUUCAUAAGAUUUCACUAAGACCUCUCUGGAGUAUUUUUUAUCAUAUCUCAAAAACCAAAAAUCAUUUUCAAAUCAAACCAAAGCCAUUGAAAAGCUAAUAAAAUUAUCUAAAACUUUCAUGUUUACAACUAGACACAGUUCAAAGCGGAAAGGGGUGAAAAAUAGUAAAAUAAGAAGGAUCUGAUUCACAAAAAUCGUGCCACGUUUUUAUGCCCAGAACCAUUGAACUUUCGGCCAACAAAAUUGUGCCACGCUUGCAAAAUCGUGACACGUUUUGACAGCAUCAGGUCCAGAAAUCUGCUUUUCAAAAAGUGCAAUUUUCACCAUUUCGCGCGUAAAAUUCAAACCGUUAAUCGGAUUUUGAUGCCGUUUUCGCCUACACGCUCCUGAAACUUGGCUCUAUCAUAAUCUACAGCUAUUUCAAGUCUCAACCAUCCCAAGAAUCAUUUUCCAAAACCUCACAUAAUCCCUUAUUUGCAAAAACGUUUAGACACCGACUUUUCAAGCGAAAAUCUCAAUUUUCAUCAACUCAACCCCAAAACUGGUUCUAAUCAUUGUACUGUGAAUAAUCUAAGGUCUGAACAUCGUUUCUUCAUUAAUUCAACAGGUUUCUAUCAUCUAAUCAACCAAUUACAACUUUUAACCCUAAUUUCCCAAAUUCCCAAAACUACAACCUACAACAUGUUAAAUCCAAUUUUCAGAAUUAUACAACUUAUAAUUAAAGAAUGUUAUCAUUCUAGGUUCUUCUCUUCUAUUGUUUUCUCCCUUUUUCUCCAAAAACUUGUUUUACGCGAUCCUUAUUUUCUAAUUCUAACUCUCCCCUUUUAUAUAAAUCCUUAACCUACUUAUUUUCUCUUAUUUCCAAAUCUACCCCCAAAGUCUCAAUAUUCUAUUCUAAUAUAUAUGUAUAAUAAAAUACUUCUAUAACAAAUAACAAAUAUAUCUCUAUAACAAAUAUAUUUAUGUACCAGAUAACAUAUAUAUUUCUUCACCAAAUUAGAUAUAUAUUUCUACACCAAAUAACAUAUAUAUUAUACUAAUAAAUACCAACAUAUAACAUAACAAAAUAUCACUCAUCAAAAUAAAUCGACUAAAUUAUAAAAAGACAUCUAAAUUCAAUAAAAUAAAUAAAUAUUAAAAUAGGGCGUUACAAACGUGCUUUCUAUCAUCGAUGAACCAGAGCAAAAUUACCAUUAGAUUCAAUCAAUGGUCAUGAUUUAUACAAAAUAAAAAUAAGAACAUUUAAGAAUUGCCUCGCACAAUCUUGCCCCUAUUAAACUUUUUUAUUUUUGGUAUUCAUCAUCUUCAACCUCCAUUCCAAUUUUUUCGUAAUAAAAAAAAAAAAAAAAACUCCAUUUCAAUUUAGGAGCAAUGCUACAAAAGAGAAUUUGCACAAAAAAUUGAGUGUGUCUUCAAAAGUUUACGGGGUUUGCUAAAAAUCUAGUUUAUGGGUUCAAUUGGAGGUGGUGACUAAUGAAAUUGGAGGUUUAACUCAUCCUUAAAAACCAGUUCAUAAGGUGAGUCACGCCCAGCACUCUUUGGGCUUACGUGAAUCGGUAGGUAUUUGGGCUUACGUGAAUCGAUAGGUAACUCUUGAAUUCGACAGGUUCUGAUACCAUAAUGAAAUUGGAGGCCUAACUCAUCCUUAAAAACUAAUUCAUAAGGUGAGAAUUGUCUCCUCUAUAUUAACUCUUAUCAAGAGUCUUAUCUUUUCGAUGUGGAACAUGAGUUUUUUUCAAUAAUGACCUUUAAAGUUUAAACACGCGGCAUCUUUGAAUUCUACAUAGAAAAAAAAAAUAGAAUUAUAGCGUGUUAUGUUUGUUUCUCUAGAGCAUGAGACAUUUCAUUGUUCAGUUUAUGUUGUCAUGGAAAGGCAUAUGAGUGAUGGGUGUACAUCAUCGAUCGGUGGUUUGAUUCUCGUGAAUAGAACAAAAAAAAUCUGAGCUCAAUGGUACAAAUCCUUACGAUGAAAGGUGAGAUAUAGUAGGAUUGUGUGUGGAUAGUUGUAAAUGUUAUCUUUUUUAAUUCUAGUAGAUCAAAAUUGUUAAUCUCAUUUCAUGGUAAAAAUUAAAUAGUCCAUUUGUGAGGGACUCAAUAGCUCCUUCACCUUAGACGUCACCCUUAAUUAAUAAGAAACUAACGGCGAGGGACUCAACUCCCUCACCUUAGACGUCACCAUUGAUUAAUAAGAAACUAACGAUUGAAGUAAAUAAACGAGAAAGAAACUCAAACUUCUUUCUAAACUUUCUUUCUCUUUCGUUCAUCAAGGAGGGGUGGUUUUUGACCUAGAAUCACCCCUCUACAUCUUUUUUCCCAUUUUCUUUCAAUCUAAAUAAGUGGUUUUCACAUACAAGUGUUUCCUUUUGUGUUUUUUGUGAUUUUGUCGUCUAAGUACAACGCUGUGUUGGUCGUCGUCUUGUGCGGCGUUUGAUUUCACGUCUUGUCGCGGCGUUCGUUUAGUUUCUAUUGAAAGAUUGACAUCGGUCAAUUAUAAAUCCAAUCAAUGAUUUGGGUGUGAAUGUUGCCGAUCUAGAAACAUGAGUAUUUCGGUGACUUAGAUUUAAUCAUAUUAGUUGUAGCAUUUUGUCAUUUUAUGUUAUUAACUUGGGUGCUGUGAGUUUGUUCGCAGUUUUACCCUUUACGUUUCUAGCGAUUUUUGUAUCUGAUGUACUCUAUCAAUCUGAAUGAAUGAAUAUCGUUUUGUUUUUAUUAAAAAAAAAAAAUAAAAAAAAAACUAACGGUUAAAAGUUUGCUCUACAUGCCUACAAUGAUAAUAAAUAGAGAUAAUUUACUACAACUUUUAAAACAAUGAUGCUCAUUUAUAGGAACUUUACCAUAAAUAAGUCUCCAAAGAAAAAAUGAUUUGGAUUGAGGAAUUGAAGGUUUCCAAAUAAGCUAUGUCCAUGAUUGAUCAUAUGCAGAAACUUGACAAAAACUAUCAGCAUCCUAAACUGAAAGAGAACCUGAUGAAGAACCCUUCUAAGCAAGAUAUUCAGUGGAAAACUAUACCCCGAUAUUUAUCAAAUUUCAUAUUUCACCAAUUCAACUCUCUCUAUCAAUAGUAUAUAUAUAAAGUAAGAUUUUUUAUGACACGUGUCACUUCCACGUUUAUUCGCAAUAUUUUUAUUUUUUUUCUAAUUUUUCAAAACCAAUAUUUAAUUUGGCAUAAAUAUCUCAACAAACUUUUGAUCUUAUCUAUUAAAUAUUUUACUUAACUAUUUAUUGAAUUCCUAAUAUUUUAUGUAAUAGAAAUAUCUCAACAAAAUUACAUACGAUACCCUUCAAUUAAAAAUCAUCAAUCAAUCAAUAGUAUAUAUAGUAAGGUUUCUUAUGCCACGUGUCACUUUCAUGUUUAUUCGCAAUAUUUUUAUUAUUUUUAUAUUUUUUAAAAUCAAUAUUUAAUUUUGUAAAAAAAAAAUCAAUAUUUAAUUUGGCAUAAAUAUUUCAACAAAAUUUUAACCUUAGGGAUGGCAAUGGGUACCCUAUCCCAAUGGAUAGGGUACUAUAGUACCCUAUCCAUUGGGUACUCAUUGCCAUAAAUGUAUUGGUCUAUUCUCCACUAUCAUAAAUAUAAAGUGAAAUAUAUUGAAUUGGAAAUGAUGAAAGUAGUAUUAAUUAGAGUUAUAAUUGAAAAAAAAAGUAAUUAAUAAUUGUAUUGAAAAGUUAAAUGCAUCAAGAUUUUUGAGACAAUAUUUUUUACAAAUAACUUAGUUAUUAUGGGACGGAGGGAGUAACACUUUAACAUGACAAUGAAAAGUAAAUUUAAGAAUUAAAAUGCAAGAAAUGAAGAGAAUGUUUCUCUAACACAAAACUAUUUUUUUUUUCUCUUUCACUUAUACACUUUUUUAAUGUGUAAAAUAAAAAAUAAAAAAAACUUAUGUAUAAUGAGACGGAGGGAGUAGUUAGUAAGAACAAAGUCGUCAAGGAACCAAUUAACUCUUGAUUUCACUUCCCAAAAACGUCUUGAUAGUGCUAUACUCCCUCCGUCCCAAAUUAUAAGCAAAAAAACAAAAAUCACACUUAUUAAGAAAACUAAAACAUAAAAAUUUGGAGUAUAGUUUUUUGUGUUUUCGUUGGAAAAAGUUUUAUAGGAAGAUGUAAAAACAAUUUUCAUUGGCUAUUGAUUAUGGAAAAAAUGAAAGAAAGAGAAAAUUGAAUGUAAUUUGCAUUUAAUUUUAUGAGAAUAACAAAAAAAAAUCUUGGAAAAGAUUAAAAUUUGUCUUUUUUCCUUAUAUUUUGGGACAAAGAAAAUGAAUUUCUUUUGCUUAUAUUAUGGAACGGAGGGAGUACUUGGUUAAGCUGGAUUGAGCAUUCAAUUCUAAUUUAAGGGCCUUUAAUUUACCUUAAAGAAUAAACAUAGGACAACCAACCACAUAAUUAUUUAUACCAAACAUUUUCCACCACGUGGGUGAUAUCUGGAAGAUGAGAGUCCAUUUAAGUGAGUCAAUGUGACGAAAAAAAAGAUAAAAUGGCAAUUUUAGGAUCGUAAAUUUCUGAAAAUAAUGGAAGUAGUAAUUCUUUUAACGUUUUCAUUGUUUUAAAAAAAUUAUCCAAUCAUAUUUUAUAUGCAAUUUUUGUUUUUUAGAUUAAUUAAACAAUAAAUUUUGUUAACCAGUGUCCUAAGGGUGAUGAUUAAGGAAUUCAAAUGUAAAAGUUUUGUCUUGUAAUUGUAGGAUGUUACAUUUGAUCAAGUAAUGAUUAUACUACUUUUUAUUAAAAACUUACUUGAUUUAGUUGUUUAACCAGUGUGAACACUAGUUAACAUUCUCCUUAAAUAAUUGAUGUUUCUGAAAUAUAAUAUAUAUAUAUAUAUAUAUAUAGCUCAGAUACAUCACUUAUUUAAUGAAGAGUUUUUUUUUUUUCCUUCUCUUAAUUAACGAAUAAAACUAACACUUAUAUAUCUACCAAAAAAAAAAAAAAACUAACACUUAUAUAAUAUAGUUCGGAUACAAUAUAUUUAUAUAAUAUAAUCCGGAUACAUCACUUAUAUAAUCAACAUUGCUAUUUACCGCGACAAGUUUUGUCCCGAAUGCAUCAAGAAUGAAAAUAAGCCAAUUAAAAACAGCUGUUAGUGGAAAUCAUGGGAGGUGGGGGAGAAAAAGAUGGAAAUCAUAAACUAAUGGAUGGAUGGCAUACAUGCCACAUGUGUCUGGAAAAUCUCGGGACAGUUUUAUUUCGUGUGAAAUAGCAUUUUUCCUUAUAUAAUAUAGUCCAGGUACAAGGCAACUAUCACCGGAUGAGGUUUUAUCUUUUUAUUAAUGAAUAAAACUUUUUUUAAGAAGCUAAAUGCAAAAUAUAUUAAAAACCAAAUUAGUUAAGCACAAGAUGUGCCAAACGAAAAACUGUGUAUAACGUCAAAGUAACAAACUCGAUAAAGAAAGAAACCACAAAUAAUAAAAAUCAAAAGCGAAAUUCAGUUUAUGUGUCUUUAGCCACCACAAAAAAUGAAAUUUAAUAUUGUCGAGAAGUUGAUCCUUAGAAGACACGUUGUUAUUGAAAUUUCUCGAGUUUCUCUCCUUCCAAAUUCUCUCCUUCGAAAUAACUCAAAGACAUGUCAGCACACCACUUUAAAACAAGAGCUAAUGUCCUUCCUGAAAGCAUGCGCGCCAAAAAAUUGUUGUGCGUGACAACCAAUAUUUGAUGGAACGACGGUAGUUUUACCCUACCAGAUCAACAAACACCCUACCAGAUCAACAAACAGGGAAAAUAAAUAAAAAAUAUUUUUGCAAAGUAAUUAAACGGAUUCUAAUGUUUAAUAGGAACCGAUCGAGGACAACAUAGAAAUCAUGCUGGAAUUUGAAGAAGAAAUACAAACCUAAUUAAAGAGAGGGGCUAAGUAUUUCCAAGCUGGAACUUGAAAAAGAAAAACCAUGCUCUAAUUAAGUAACUAAGUAAGGUAGUACAUUACAACAAUUGAGAUAAGUACGACACAUUAUGAUGAUUAUGACUUAUGAGCUGUUAAAUGAUGUUGUAGGAUUACUUUUUUCUUGUCAAAAAUAAAUAAAUGAUGUUGUAGGAGAAACAUUAUUAUAAACAUUAUUAUAACUUACAAGGACUAAUGUUUAAAAAAAAAAACUUACAAGGACUAAUAAUGAGACAGAACGAAAGUGUACGUGAGUGUAGGAGACACGUUAUUAUAACAUUUUAUAAAUAUUUAAACGUUGAUAAUAAUUUUGUCGAUCUAUAAACCACUACCAAUUCCUAGUUAAAUAUAUAAUAAUUUUUAUUAUAUUUGUUAGUUGAUGGUAAAAGAUGAAUAUAAUUUGUUACUAUAUUUUUUUUUGACAAAAUAAUUUGUUGCUAUUUAAAAUUCAUAAAUAUAGUCUAUACAUAUAAUUUUAAUAAAAAUAAAAAUUCACCCAAAAAAAAAUCAAAAAUUUCAUAAAAAAAUAAAUAUUGUUUAUAAUUCACGAGCGUUGUCGCAGUACAAAAAUGGAUAGAUGGAUACCCAGUACUAGUAAUUAAUGAAGUUAAUUGGUAAAAUUUCACUCUUACUGGUGGUUGAUGGUAGGGGUGUUUACGGUGCGGUUUGGUUCGGUUUUGAGAGAAAAAGUCAUCCAAACCGCAAGAUAAAAAAACAUGCGGUUUGUGUAACACCCACAGCUGACGAGGGCAGGGGAGUGGUCACCGGUGCACAAGGCACGCCAAUGAGCGGCUCCCGACAGCUUCUAGAGGAACCGAAUCACAUCUGAAUGAGAGGGAUCCUGAGGCCGUGUAGGUGUGGGACUACAUGAAUGAAGGAAUGCUUAUAAGAAUUGUUUGGUAAUACCUAUAUCAACAAGGUGCAUCUUCUUUUUGGUACCCUAUUCCAUAAGAACUCCACAGUUAAGCGUGCUUGACUUGGAGUAGUCUUUGGAUGGGUGACCUACCGGGAUUCCCGAUAAGCAUGCGAGUGAGGACAAAACACGCUGAAAAGACUCGUGUUGGUUUGUAGGGUCAGUCGACAAUGCUUAAAGUCGUCUGGGAUGUUACAGUUUGGUUUGGUUCGGUUGGCUUUAAAAUAAAAUCCGAACCAAACCAAACCAAUAUGGUUUGGGUUGUAUCGGUUGGUGCGGUUUUUUUCGUGACGAUACGAUUUUUUGUUUCCAACAUUAAAAUCAAGAUAAAAAGCUGAAACACAAUAUAUUUUCAACAAUGUUUUAAAUUUCAUCAAACAUUACAAUUUCAUUUUCAUUACAAUGUUUCCAACAACAUAAACCAAAUUAAAAACGCGGACAAAAAGUAAUCUUAUUUUGUAAGAAAUGCAAAAGACUGAGAUGUUCUCAUUCUCUAAAAGUUAAGUAGCACAUAAAUACAUUUUUAAAUAAAAAGCAAAUAAUGAACUUAACAAGAGAAAAAAAAUAUGACAUUUUAUAAAAGUUUUCAUUGAGUUUCUAUGAGUAUUGGUCUUGAUGACAUAUGUUUAAUUAACAUUUUUCUUAUGUUAUGGUUUGGUUUGGUUUUGUAUCUAUUUGACAGUCUCUUUGUACUUUGAGCGACCUCUUUAGUACGCCUUAUGCUAAAGAGGUGUCUCUCUUAUUGUGAAUAUAUAUCAUUUUACCUUCUUAAAAAAAAGUUAAUUGGUAAAAAAAAAAAAAAUUUCUCUCUUGAUUUAUAUGAAAUGACAUUUUUUUUUGGAACAUGGAGGGUAUUGAUUUUUACACCUUUUCAAAAGCCACUCAAGGAUGAAUAUAGAUUUUUCAUGCAUCAAACACAAGAAUCAUUAGCAUAACAUGCUUUGGAAAACACACACAUAUACUUAAAUUAAUGGUUGGAGUAUCAAAUUUAAAAAUAUUGUUGUCAAUACAUACCCCGUCAAUCCUCCUUUUUUACCCAAUAAACAUUGAAAUGUUGCUUCUUUCGUUAAGCAUAAAAACAUCAAAGUCUAGCAAAAUGUUGUUUUUGCGAUGACACAUUUCAUAUAGUUUAAAGGAUGCAUGAUUCGAUUACAAAAACAAAAUACUAAUAAUUCUAGCACAAAGUUUAAAGCUAAGAUUAUAAAGCUUCAUAGCAUGUGGAUAUUCAUUUAGAAAUAUAGGAUUAGGAUUGCCCCUUUCAUCACGGGUCUAAUAGCACCACUUGUCACUACAUGUUAAAAAUGUCCUCUAGUACAACACCGCUUUUUACUUGAUUCCCCUUGUCCAUGAAAAAAUCAAACAAUAUUUGGACACAAAAAUUUGCCCCCACUUUCCUUUUUCUUCUGCCCUAGUUUGUUUGAAAACUCAUAUUGAUCAAAUUUGGCUAUGAAUUCAAACAAAAAAUUCACUCUGCCCAUUGCAUGUGUGGGACCCACAUAUAAAUCCAUGAAGGAUUUCAAUGUCCAUCCAAGUCAAUGAUUCAACAUAUAACAUUGAAUAAUUUAAUUCCAAUUUGCAGUAUUAUGAUUUAGAUUGAUUGCUGCAAUACGGUCCGUGAAUGUAACUCACGAGAAAGAGGUAUCAAGGUAUUUUAUUUUAUUUUUAACAAAUAAAAUUUCAAGGUCUUGUUCACCAUAUAAACCUCCUCACUCUCACUCAAUUCUCUUAAGUGUAUGACUUCAUAGUAAACUACACUACUUUCUUUAAAACAUGGCUAACUAUGCUAUAGCCAAUGUUUUGAUCCUUCUCUUGAACUUGAGUACCUUACUCAAUGUUCUUGCUUGCCCUUAUUGUCCUUACCCAAGCCCUAAACCACCUUCACACCACCCUCCUAUUGUUAAGCCACCAGUUCACAAACCACCAAAGCAUUCUCCUACUCCUAAACCACCAGUUCAUAAACCACCAAGAUAUCCUCCUAAACCAUCACCUUGUCCACCCCCAUCAUCAACACCAAAACCACCUCAUCAUCCCAAACCCCCAGCAGUACACCCACCACAUGUUCCAAAACCACAUCCACCUUAUGUUCCAAAACCACCAAUUGUUAAACCUCCAAUAGUACAUCCACCUUACGUACCAAAACCCCCAGUUGUGAAACCACCACCAUAUGUCCCUAAACCACCUGUUGUGAGACCACCCUAUGUUCCUAAACCACCAGUUGUACCUGUAACACCACCUUAUGUUCCUAAGCCACCAAUUGUUUUCCCACCACAUGUUCCUCUACCUCCAGUUGUACCAUCACCACCACCUUAUGUACCAACACCUCCAAUUGUGAAACCACCAAUUGUUUUUCCACCACAUGUUCCUCUACCUCCAGUUGUGCCUGUAACACCACCUUAUGUGCAACCACCACCUAUUGUAACUCCACCAACACCAACACCUCCAAUUGUGACACCACCAACACCACCUAGUGAAACACCUUGUCCUCCACCACCACUUGUACCUUAUCCACCACCACCAGCACAACAAACAUGUUCCAUUGAUGCUUUGAAGUUGGGUGCAUGUGUUGAUGUGCUUGGUGGACUCAUACAUAUUGGUAUAGGUGGAAGUGCUAAACAAACAUGUUGUCCAUUGCUUCAAGGACUUGUUGAUUUGGAUGCUGCUAUAUGUCUUUGCACCA
rnacentral:lncRNA from 1 species